GCGGUGGAGCAUGUGGUUCAAUUCGACGCAACGCGAAGAACCUUACCUGGGCUCGAAAUGCAGUGGACCGGGGUAGAAAUAUCCCUUUCCGCAAGGACUGCUGCAUAGGUGCUGCAUGGCUGUCGUCAGCUCGUGUCGUGAGAUGUUGGGUUAAGUCCCGCAACGAGCGCAACCCUUAUCCCUAGUUGCCAUCGGGUCAAGCCGGGCACUCUAGUGAAACCGCCCCGGAUAACGGGGAGGAAGGUGGGGAUGACGUCAAGUCCUCAUGGCCUUUAUGUCCAGGGCUACACACGUGCUACAAUGGUCGGUACAAACCGUCGCAAACCCGUGAGGGGGAGCUAAUCGGAAAAAGCCGGCCUCA
rnacentral:rRNA from 1 species